GAUGAACGCUAGCGAUAGGCUUAACACAUGCAAGUCGAGGGGCAGCACAAGGUAGCUUGCUCUCUGGGUGGCGACCGGCGCACGGGUGCGUGACGCGUAUGCAACUUGCCCUAUACAGGAGGAUAACCCGUCGAAAGACGGACUAAUACUGCGUAUGCUCACAACUUGGCAUCAAGUGGUGAGGAAAGAAAUUCGGUAUAGGAUAGGCAUGCGUCCCAUUAGCUUGUUGGUGAGGUAACGGCUCACCAAGGCAACGAUGGGUAGGGGAACUGAGAGGUUUAUCCCCCACACUGGUACUGAGACACGGACCAGACUCCUACGGGAGGCAGCAGUGAGGAAUAUUGGUCAAUGGGCGCGAGCCUGAACCAGCCAAGUCGCGUGAAGGAUGACUGUCUUAUGGAUUGUAAACUUCUUUUAUACGGGAAUAACAAGAGUCACGUGUGACUCCCUGCAUGUACCGUAUGAAUAAGCAUCGGCUAACUCCGUG
rnacentral:rRNA from 1 species